rnacentral:piRNA from 1 species
UGGGAUGAACCUGGAUCCAGAUGAAACUCU